rnacentral:rRNA from 1 species
AGAGUUUGAUCCUGGCUCAGAACGAACGUUAACGGCGCGCCUAAUACAUGCAAGUCGUGCGAGAAAGGGCUUCGGCCCCGGUAAAGCGGCGCACGGGUGAGUAACACGUAGGUGAUCUCCCCUCGAGUGGUGGAUAACCCUCCGAAAGGAGGACUAAUACAGCGUGAGACCACAGCUCUUCGGAGCUGCGGCCAAAGCAGGCCACUGCAUGCAAGCUUGUGCUCGAGGAUGAGCCUGCGGCCCAUCAGCUAGUUGGUAAGGUAACGGCCUACCAAGGCUAAGGCGGGUAGCUGGUCUGAGAGGAUGAACAGCCACACUGGAACUGAGACACGGUCCAGACUCCUACGGGAGGCAGCAGUAGGGAAUCUUGCCCAAUGGGCGAAAGCCUGAGGCAGCGACGCCGCGUGAGCGAUGAAGGCCUUCGGGUUGUAAAGCUCUGUGGGGAGGGACGAAUAAGGUUUGGCUAAUAUCCAAGCCGAUGACGGUACCUCCUUAGCAAGCACCGGCUAACUCUGUGCCAGCAGCCGCGGUAAGACAGAGGGUGCAAACGUUGUUCGGAAUUACUGGGCGUAAAGCGCGUGUAGGCGGCUACGUAAGUCGGGCGUGAAAUCCCACGGCUCAACUGUGGAAGUGCACUCGAAACUGUGUAGCUAGAGUCCUGGAGAGGAAGGUGGAAUACUUGGUGUAGAGGUGAAAUUCGUAGAUAUCAAGUGGAACACCAGUGGCGAAGGCGGCCUUCUGGACAGUGACUGACGCUGAGACGCGAAAGCGUGGGGAGCAAACAGGAUUAGAUACCCUGGUAGUCCACGCCGUAUACGAUGAGUGCUAGGUGUC